UCCGGACCCCCCGCGCUCGCUGCGGCUCUCGGGGGUCUCCCCGACCUCCCUGAGCCUCUCGUGGAGCCCCGGCUUCGACGGGGGGUUGGAGCAGCACUUCCUGCUGCGGGCGGAAGGUCCGGGUGCCCCUCCCCCCACCGCCUCCCUGGUCACUUCCGGCCACGCCCUCACCCUGGGGGGGCUGCUCCCGGCCACGCCCUAUGACGUCAUCCUCCACGCCCGCAACGCCCGCGGCGACAGCGCCCCCGUGAGGAUCACGGCGGCCACUUCUGAGGCGCCCGAGGAGCGUCCCCGGGACGCGGCGCCUCCCCCGUGGGCGCCCCCUGGCGGCCCGGAGGCCUCGGCGGAAGCGAAGGGUCCUCCCGUCCUGGAGGGGGCGCUGAGCGCGCUGGGCGGGGCUUUGCUGGCCGCCCUCGGGGGGGCGCUCUGCUACUUCCGGUGGGGCGGCGGCGGCGGCGCCCCC